rnacentral:rRNA from 1 species
UCAAGCUAAUAAGAGCAUAAGGUGAAUGCCUUGGCAUCAAGAACCGAUGAAGGACGUAAAAAGCUGCGAUAAGCUUCGGGGAGGCGCACAUAGCCAACGAUCCGGAGAUUUCCGAAUGGGGAAACCUAGCUGAGAAAAGCUCAGUUGGCGUACAGUGAAUCAAUAGCUGUGCGUAGGGAACGCUCUGAACUGAAACAUCUAAGUAGGAGCAGGAAGAGAAAGAAACAUCGAUUUCCUAAGUAGUGGCGAACGAACGGGAAACAGGCCAAACCGAGAUACAUGUAUUUCGGGGUUGUGGACUACAUCAUGUGAUGGAGGUAAGGUAGUAGAAUUGUUUUGGGAAAGCAAGCCAAAGAAAGUGAAAGCCUUGUAUACGAAACCUAAAGACCCACAGUAGUAUCCAGAGUACAUCGGGACACGUGAAACCCUGAUGGAAGCCGGAGGGACCACCCUCCAAGCCUAAAUAUUCCUUGAUGACCGAUAGCGAAGAAGUACUGUGAAGGAAAGGUGAAAAGAACCCCGGGAGGGGAGUGAAAGAGAACCUGAAACCUUAUGUUUACAAACAGUCGAAGUUUUUCGGAACGACGGCGUACUUUUUGUAGAACGGUCCGGCGAGUUGCAGUGACAUGCGAGGUUAAGGAGUACAGCUCCGGAGCCGAAGGGAAACCAAGUCUUAACUGGGCGUCUAGUAUGUUAAUGCAGACCCGAAACCGGGUGACCUAUCCAUGGGCAGGUUGAAGUUACCGUAAAAGGUAAUGGAGGACCGAACUCACAUCUGUUGAAAAAGGUGGAGAUGACCUGUGGAUAGCGGAGAAAUUCCAAUCGAACUCGGAGAUAGCUGGUUCUCCUCGAAAUAGCUUUAGGGCUAGCCUUGAGGUAAAGUCUAAUGGAGGUAAAGCACUGAUUGGACGCGGGUCCCCAAAAGGAUACCAACUUCUAUCAAACUCAGAAUGCCAUAUAGAUAUACUCAGGAGUCAGACUAUGUGAGAUAAGUUUCAUAGUCAAAAGGGAAAGAGCCCAGACCGACAGCUAAGGUCCCAAAGUGUGUGUUAAGUGGAAAAGGAUGUUAGGUUUCUAAGACAACUAGGAUGUUGGCUCAGAAGCAGCCACUCAUUUAAAGAGUGCGUAACAGCUCACUAGUCGAGAGGUCUAGCGCCGAAAAUGUCCGGGGCUAAAACACACCACCGAAGCUACGGAAUUACCUAUGGUAAUUGGUAGAGGAGCAUUCUGUAAGGACGAAGCACAAUUGAAAGAGAGUGUGGACGAAACAGAAGAGAGAAUGCCGGAAUGAGUAGCGAGAUAUAUGUGAGAAUCAUAUAGGUCGAAUGUCUAAGGUUUCCUGGGUAAAGCUGAUCUGCUCAGGGUAAGUCGGGACCUAAGGUGAGGGCGAGAGCCGUAAUCGAUGGACAACAGGUAGAAAUUCCUGUACUACGUAUAAUCAGAACUGUGGGGACGCAGGAGGAUAGGAAAACCGGAGAAUGGAAAAAUCCGGCUAAGUACAAAGGUGUGAGCAAUAGGCAAAUCCGUUGCUAUUAGCUGAAGUACGAAUGGGAGCGAAGAAAAGUAGCGAAGUUUCUGAAUCCACACUGUCAAGAAAAGCCGCUAUUGCGUUAUACGUACCCGUACCGCAAACCGACACAGGUAGACGAGGAGAAAAUCCACAGACCGACGGGAGAAGUGUUGUUAAGGAACUCGGCAAAAUGACCCCGUAACUUAGGGAUAAGGGGAGCCAACGCAAGUUGGUCACAGAAAAGAGGCUCAAGCGACUGUUUAGCAAAAACAUAGGUCUAUGCGAAACCGUAAGGUGAUGUAUAUGGGCUGACACCUGCCCGGUGCUGGAAGGUCAAAAGGAGAGGUUAGCGUAAGCGAAGCUUUGAAUUCAAGCCCCAGUAAACGGCGGCCGUAACUAUAACGGUCCUAAGGUAGCGAAAUUCCUUGUC